rnacentral:rRNA from 1 species
AGCAGUGGGGAAUUUUGCACAAUGGGCGCAAGCCUGAUCCAGCGAUGCCGCGUGUGGGAAGAAGGCUUUAGGGUUGUAAACCACUUUCAAUUGGGAAGAAGAGAUGAGUGUUAAUAACCUUCUGAUUUGACGGUACCUUUAGAAGAAGCACCGGCUAAUUUCGUGCCAGCAGCCGCGGUAAUACGAAAGGUGCGAGCGUUGUUCGGAUUUACUGGGCGUAAAGAGAUCGUAGGUGGUUUGUUAAGUUGGAUGUGAAAUCCCGGGGCUCAACCUCGGAACUGCAUCCAAAACUGACGGACUUGAGUUUGGGAGGGGUAAGCGGAAUUCCGUGUGUAGCAGUGAAAUGCGUAGAUAUACGGAGGAACACCUGAGGCGAAGGCGGCUUUCUGGACCAAUACUGACACUGAGGAUCGAAAGCGUGGGUAGCAAACAGGAUUAGAUACCCUGGUAGUCCACGCCCUAAACGAUGUCAACUAGCCGUUGCGGGUAUCGACCCCUUCAGUGGCGCAGCUA